rnacentral:rRNA from 1 species
UGCGAAAGCAGGUCAUAGUGAUCCGGUGGUUCUGAAUGGAAGGGCCAUCGCUCAACGGAUAAAAGGUACUCCGGGGAUAACAGGCUGAUACCGCCCAAGAGUUCAUAUCGACGGCGGUGUUUGGCACCUCGAUGUCGGCUCAUCACAUCCUGGGGCUGAAGUAGGUCCCAAGGGUAUGGCUGUUCGCCAUUUAAAGUGGUACGCGAGCUGGGUUUAGAACGUCGUGAGACAGUUCGGUCCCUAUCUGCCGUGGGCGCUGGAGAACUGAGGGGGGCUGCUCCUAGUACGAGAGGACCGGAGUGGACGCAUCACUGGUGUUCGGGUUGUCAUGCCAAUGGCACUGCCCGGUAGCUAAAUGCGGAAGAGAUAAGUGCUGAAAGCAUCUAAGCACGAAACUUGCCCCGAGAUGAGUUCUCCCUGAGACUUUAGGUCUCCUGAAGGAACGUUGAAGACGACGACGUUGAUAGGCCGGGUGUGUAAGCGCAGCGAUGCGUUGAGCUAACCGGUACUAAUGAACCGUGAGGCUUAACCUU